UUCCCAUGAGAAGAAGUUGGUUUUUCAAGGUUCUCAUUAAUGAGUCUGUUAAUUUCUCAAUGUGAUAUUAAUGAGUCUGUUAGUUUGUCUAAGUAAGAGUUGUCAAUUGUCAUGUAUUUAAGUUAUAUUGAGAUCAAUGGAAAAGGUGACGUUUUUGUUCCAAAAUCUGAUAAGUUUUCUAAUUCCAUCACCAUUCACAAGCUGCAUAUGGAUGUC
rnacentral:lncRNA from 1 species